rnacentral:rRNA from 1 species
CGCGUAGGCGGCUGAGCAAGUCGGACGUGAAAGCCCCUGGCUCAACUGGGGGAGGCCGUUCGAUACUGCCCGGCUUGAGGGUGAGAGAGGAAAGCGGAAUUCCCGGUGUAGCGGUGGAAUGCGUAGAGAUCGGGAGGAACACCAGUGGCGAAAGCGGCUUUCUGGUUCACCUCUGACGCUGAGGGCGCGAAAGCGUGGGGAGCAAACGGGAUUAGAUACCCCGGUAGUCCACGCCCUAAACGAUGAGAGCUGGGUGUUGGUUCCAUUUGGAAUCAGUGCCGAAGCCAACGCGUUAAGCUCUCCGCCUGGGGACUACGAACGCAAGUUUAAA